rnacentral:rRNA from 2 species
GUUAAGCGACUAAGCGUACACGGUGGAUGCCCUGGCAGUCAGAGGCGAUGAAGGACGUGCUAAUCUGCGAUAAGCGUCGGUAAGGUGAUAUGAACCGUUAUAACCGGCGAUUUCCGAAUGGGGAAACCCAGUGUGAUUCGUCACACUAUCAUUAACUGAAUCCAUAGGUUAAUGAGGCGAACCGGGGGAACUGAAACAUCUAAGUACCCCGAGGAAAAGAAAUCAACCGAGAUUCCCCCAGUAGCGGCGAGCGAACGGGGAGCAGCCCAGAGCCUGAAUCAGUGUGUGUGUUAGUGGAAGCGUCUGGAAAGGCGUGCGAUACAGGGUGACAGCCCCGUACACAAAAAUGCACAUACUGUGAGCUCGAUGAGUAGGGCGGGACACGUGGUAUCCUGUCUGAAUAUGGGGGGACCAUCCUCCAAGGCUAAAUACUCCUGACUGACCGAUAGUGAACCAGUACCGUGAGGGAAAGGCGAAAAGAACCCCGGCGAGGGGAGUGAAAAAGAACCUGAAACCGUGUACGUACAAGCAGUGGGAGCACGCUUAGGCGUGUGACUGCGUACCUUUUGUAUAAUGGGUCAGCGACUUAUAUUCUGUAGCAAGGUUAACCGAAUAGGGGAGCCGAAGGGAAACCGAGUCUUAACUGGGCGUUAAGUUGCAGGGUAUAGACCCGAAACCCGGUGAUCUAGCCAUGGGCAGGUUGAAGGUUGGGUAACACUAACUGGAGGACCGAACCGACUAAUGUUGAAAAAUUAGCGGAUGACUUGUGGCUGGGGGUGAAAGGCCAAUCAAACCGGGAGAUAGCUGGUUCUCCCCGAAAGCUAUUUAGGUAGCGCCUCGUGAAUUCAUCUCCGGGGGUAGAGCACUGUUUCGGCAAGGGGGUCAUCCCGACUUACCAACCCGAUGCAAACUGCGAAUACCGGAGAAUGUUAUCACGGGAGACACACGGCGGGUGCUAACGUCCGUCGUGAAGAGGGAAACAACCCAGACCGCCAGCUAAGGUCCCAAAGUCAUGGUUAAGUGGGAAACGAUGUGGGAAGGCCCAGACAGCCAGGAUGUUGGCUUAGAAGCAGCCAUCAUUUAAAGAAAGCGUAAUAGCUCACUGGUCGAGUCGGCCUGCGCGGAAGAUGUAACGGGGCUAAACCAUGCACCGAAGCUGCGGCAGCGACGCUUAUGCGUUGUUGGGUAGGGGAGCGUUCUGUAAGCCUGUGAAGGUGUACUGUGAGGUAUGCUGGAGGUAUCAGAAGUGCGAAUGCUGACAUAAGUAACGAUAAAGCGGGUGAAAAGCCCGCUCGCCGGAAGACCAAGGGUUCCUGUCCAACGUUAAUCGGGGCAGGGUGAGUCGACCCCUAAGGCGAGGCCGAAAGGCGUAGUCGAUGGGAAACAGGUUAAUAUUCCUGUACUUGGUGUUACUGCGAAGGGGGGACGGAGAAGGCUAUGUUGGCCGGGCGACGGUUGUCCCGGUUUAAGCGUGUAGGCUGGUUUUCCAGGCAAAUCCGGAAAAUCAAGGCCGAGGCGUGAUGACGAGGCACUACGGUGCUGAAGCAACAAAUGCCCUGCUUCCAGGAAAAGCCUCUAAGCAUCAGGUAACAUCAAAUCGUACCCCAAACCGACACAGGUGGUCAGGUAGAGAAUACCAAGGCGCUUGAGAGAACUCGGGUGAAGGAACUAGGCAAAAUGGUGCCGUAACUUCGGGAGAAGGCACGCUGAUACGUAGGUGAAGCGACUUGCUCGUGGAGCUGAAAUCAGUCGAAGAUACCAGCUGGCUGCAACUGUUUAUUAAAAACACAGCACUGUGCAAACACGAAAGUGGACGUAUACGGUGUGACGCCUGCCCGGUGCCGGAAGGUUAAUUGAUGGGGUUAGCGCAAGCGAAGCUCUUGAUCGAAGCCCCGGUAAACGGCGGCCGUAACUAUAACGGUCCUAAGGUAGCGAAAUUCCUUGUCGGGUAAGUUCCGACCUGCACGAAUGGCGUAAUGAUGGCCAGGCUGUCUCCACCCGAGACUCAGUGAAAUUGAACUCGCUGUGAAGAUGCAGUGUACCCGCGGCAAGACGGAAAGACCCCGUGAACCUUUACUAUAGCUUGACACUGAACAUUGAGCCUUGAUGUGUAGGAUAGGUGGGAGGCUUUGAAGUGUGGACGCCAGUCUGCAUGGAGCCGACCUUGAAAUACCACCCUUUAAUGUUU